rnacentral:rRNA from 1 species
CAGUAGCCGCGGGAACACGUAGGUGGCAAGCGUUAUCCGGAAUUAUUGGGCGUAAAGCGCGCGUAGGCGGUUUUUUAAGUCUGAUGUGAAAGCCCACGGCUCAACCGUGGAGGGUCAUUGGAAACUGGAAAACUUGAGUGCAGAAGAGGAAAGUGGAAUUCCAUGUGUAGCGGUGAAAUGCGCAGAGAUAUGGAGGAACACCAGUGGCGAAGGCGACUUUCUGGUCUGUAACUGACGCUGAUGUGCGAAAGCGUGGGGAUCAAACAGGAUUAGAUACCCCUGUAGUCCCUGUCUCUUAUAC